UACAGAGGGGGCAAGCGUUAUUCGGAAUUAUUGGGCGUAAAGGGCGCGUAGGCGGUCUAGCCAGUCCGGGGUGAAAGCCUCCAGCUUAACUGGAGAAGUGCCUUGGAUACUGCUGGACUUGAGGGAGGCAGGGGUCGUGGGAACUUCCGGUGGAGCGGUGAAAUGCGUUGAUAUCGGAAGGAACGCCGGUGGCGAAAGCGCACGACUGGUCCUCUGCUGACGCUGAGGCGCGAAAGCCAGGGGAGCAAACGGG
rnacentral:rRNA from 1 species